UAGGGAAUAUUGGACAAUGGGGGCAACCCUGAUCCAGCCAUGCCGCGUGAGUGAAGAAGGCCCUCGGGCUGUAAAGCUCUUUUGUCCGGAAAGAAAAGCAUUCGGUGAAUACCCGGAUGUUCUGACGGUACCGGAAGAAUAAGCACCGGCUAACUUCGUGCCAGCAGCCGCGGUAAUACGCAGGGUGCAAGCGUUACUCGGAAUUACUGGGCGUAAAGCGUGCGUAGGUGGUUGUUUAAGUCUGAUGUGAAAGCCCUGGGCUCAACCUGGGAAUGGCAUUGGAAACUGGGCAGCUAGAGUGCGGUAGAGGGUAGUGGAAUUCCCGGUGUAGCAGUGAAAUGCGUAGAGAUCGGGAGGAACAUCUGUGGCGAAGGCGACUGCCUGGACCAGCACUGACACUGAGGCACGAAAGCGUGGGGAGCAAACA
rnacentral:rRNA from 1 species